ensembl:lncRNA
CGCAGAGAGUCAGACACCACUGAGUGGAGUAGCUAGUCUCAAAGUCCCCAGUACAAAGCCCUGGGCCCUGGGCCUCCACCUGGCUCCAGGCCGCGCUGUCUCUGGGCGGGCCCUCUGCAGGUGGAGCGGGGCGCUGCUGGCAUCUGUCUGGCCUGGAGCCGGGCUGGGCGGGUCGCCGGCAGGAAUCCCAGGAACGCAGCGCCUGUUUCCACAACCGGGCCCCACCUGUUCCAGUCCGCAAAUGGUCUGCACACCCGCUGCCCUCGCCUCUUGGCCCGGGGAGCUCCCCCUGCGGAGAGAGGUUCCCAGCCAGUGAGAAAGAAGCGGCUCCUGUGACAGGAGAGAUGGCAAUCAGAGACCUAAAGAGCCGGGGGAGUUUUUUCAGAGGCUUUAGAAUGAGGAAGACGGAGGUUCAGAGAGUCCCAAGGCCAAAGUGGACGGCAGAGCUGGGACUUGACCUGCCCUCGGCCUGGAGUCCACGGCGUGUCCCUCUUCCCCGCGCAGAUUCGAUCUCCCCAUAGCUGGACCCACAGUCACCCUGCGGCCAGCCCCACUGCGAGGCUCCUGUCUCAGGCUUCUCCCGCGUCCCCCUACAAGGCGCCAGCGAUCCAGUUCCCACAGCCGCCGUGAGCCCUUGGCUGCAAGCUUGGGUCGCGGCCAAGGUUCCAUGUCUGCAGAUUGCUUCUGUGGGCUAAGAUCCAGGAGCCCAGUUGGGUCGCAAGAUGGGAACCUUCUCGGUGGGACAUGUAACCCAGGAGAAGGGUGCCCUUCAUGUGGGAUGGACUGGUUUGAUCUCCCUGCUGUCCAAGGGACUCUCAUGAGUCUUCUCCAGAGUACACUGCUUCCUGGAACAUUCUGUAGACUCCAAAGGACUGAGUAGGAGACUGACGCACAGUUCAGCUGCUGCUGCUGCUAAGUCGCUUCAGUCGUGCCCGACUCUGUGCGACCCCAUAGACGGCAGCCCACCAGACUCCCCCGUCCCUGGGAUUCUCCAGGCAAGAACACUGGAGUGGGCUGCCAUUUCCUUCUCCAAUGCAUGAAAGUGAAAAGUGAAAGUGAAGUCGCUCAGUCAUGUCCAACCCUCAGCGACCCCAUGGACUGCAACCCACCAGGCUCCUCCUUCCAUGGGAUUUUCCAGGCAAGAGUACUGGAGUGGGGUGCCAUCGCCUUCUCUGACAGUUCAGCUAGGCCACUGCGAACAUCUCUCCCUCCAUGCAGCCCAUUCCCUGGCCCCCUCUCACCCACCAGCACCCCUGAAACGGACCCAUGUAUCCUGUGCUGCCAGGAGCCUUGGACGUGAAGCUGGCCCCAUAGGGCCCCGGCUCUGAGGAGCUCUCCAGGCCAGACCCACAGGUCACUGGUCCCAGAACGUGGUUCCGGAUUCUAGAAUAGGCUUCUCGUGGGUUGGUGGAAAGUCAAGGAGGCCUUUCCAGAUGGUGUAGGACCAGAGAUACCCAAGGGCAGGGGCUGCCCUCCAACCAGGACGCAGGCUUGGGAGCCAGGGGGCAACGGGCAGGGUGUGGCGAACAGGCCACAUAAACAAAGGCCGGUGUCGUGGAGGCGCAAAUGGCCGACGCUGGAGCAGUGAGUAGGGCCCAGCCGCAAGCUCUGGAGAGCUGGGGCCUAGGAGGCAGAAGGGGACAAGCUCAGAGCCUCCUGCAGCUCAAGGCAGGGAGGCCAGCCUGCAGCCCUCACACCUGGGGUCACUCCAGGUCCGCAGAAGAUCCAGAGGACAAAAGGAUGACAGAAACCACGCCUCCGGGGGCAGCAGCGGGGAUGGGGCUGAGAGCAGGGCUCCAGGCUCAGGCCGUGGC